rnacentral:lncRNA from 10 species
ACCAAGGAAAGCUUCAGAGAAAGCCUGGCUGCAUCAAUGAAGAUUUGUCUCUACAAAGGCAGAUCUCCCUGACAAAAGCAUCAAUUGCUCUACAAUUUGGAGAUAUCAGACGAACAGAGGGAAAAUGCAGUCAGUGGUCUAAAGCUGCCCCUUAGGAAAUCUAAGGCUAUAUCUGGUUCCAUAAAGUCUUUAAUCAGUCAGUCAGAACAACUGCAGCAUUCCUGCCGCUCAGAAUACCUUAAUGGCCUUAGUAGCUGAGGUCCUCACAGCACUGGCAAGAGCAACAUGGCAUUGGAAUGGGAGGACUGAAGCUUAAUGUAGAAAUUUCUUAAAAGAUCAUAUGUACCCAUGAAUGUUCUUUUUCCAGCAAGACGGAAGAAGCCAAAGACUCUCUGGUCAUUGCAGAAGGAAGAAUGAGAGCCCAAGCCUGAGGAAGAUAAAAUGAGAUGAUUUGGCUUAAUAUGAAUUAAGGCAGCUGCCAGUGGUUCUGUAAUGAGCAAACUGAUUAUUUUUUUAUGUAGCCUCUAUUCACAUUUUUAUGUUUGAUUUUGUCCUUUGAUUGUAAUGACAGGUUGUGGUUACACAUUAUUAAAGAUGAAUACUAAAGAAGCGACUAAAUAAAAAGGCAAGAAAUUGAGGAUGAUUGGUAUAAUCCCAGCAGGGAAGCAGAUGAGGAAAGGCAGAAGAUAAAGUUUUUUUUAUGUCUCUGCUACUGUGUGCUCCUCACCUACACAUGUUGGAAUAAACUUAGAAUAUUUCCUUUAUUCAAUGGUAUUGUUGUGCUAUUUUUCCAAUGAUCAGAAUCUGUGGAUGGUGAAGGGAAUGUUCAACUCUGCAAUCCUUCCAACAAGUAAAGCCAGUAAUUUCACUUAUUAACAUAUAUAUCCUAGGGAAAUUUUCCCCAUGGCAAGAAGAAACAGUAUGAGUAUGUUUGCUAUAGUUUAAAUGUCCUCUCCCAAACUCAAGCUAUUGAGAAUAUUCAUUUGGAGAUAAUACAUAUUAUC